rnacentral:rRNA from 1 species
GAUGAACGCUGGCGGCGUGCCUAAUACAUGCAAGUCGAGCGAACAGAUGAGGAGCUUGCUCCUCUGACGUUAGCGGCGGACGGGUGAGUAACACGUGGAUAACCUACCUAUAAGACUGGGAUAACUUCGGGAAACCGGAGCUAAUACCGGAUAAUAUAUUGAACCGCAUGGUUCAAUAGUGAAAGACGGUUUUGCUGUCACUUAUAGAUGGAUCCGCGCCGCAUUAGCUAGUUGGUAAGGUAACGGCUUACCAAGGCGACGAUGCGUAGCCGACCUGAGAGGGUGAUCGACCACACUGGAACUGAGACACGGUCCAGACUCCUACGGGAGGCAGCAGUAGGGAAUCUUCCGCAAUGGGCGAAAGCCUGACGGAGCAACGCCGCGUGAGUGAUGAAGGUCUUCGGAUCGUAAAACUCUGUUAUUAGGGAAGAACAAAUGUGUAAGUACCUAUGCACGUCUUGACGGUACCGAAUCAGAAAGCCACGGCUAACUACGU